rnacentral:rRNA from 2 species
UUGGUGCUUGCAUCAUGAUUUACAUUUGAGUGAGUGGCGAACUGGUGAGUAACACGUGGGAAACCUGCCCAGAAGCGGGGGAUAACACCUGGAAACAGAUGCUAAUACCGCAUAACAACUUGGACCGCAUGGUCCGAGUUUGAAAGAUGGCUUCGGCUAUCACUUUUGGAUGGUCCCGCGGCGUAUUAGCUAGAUGGUGGGGUAACGGCUCACCAUGGCAAUGAUACGUAGCCGACCUGAGAGGGUAAUCGGCCACAUUGGGACUGAGACACGGCCCAAACUCCUACGGGAGGCAGCAGUAGGGAAUCUUCCACAAUGGACGAAAGUCUGAUGGAGCAACGCCGCGUGAGUGAAGAAGGGUUUCGGCUCGUAAAACUCUGUUGUUAAAGAAGAACAUAUCUGAGAGUAACUGUUCAGGUAUUGACGGUAUUUAACCAGAAAGCCACGGCUAACUACGUGCCAGCAGCCGCGGUAAUACGUAGGUGGCAAGCGUUGUCCGGAUUUAUUGGGCGUAAAGCGAGCGCAGGCGGUUUUUUAAGUCUGAUGUGAAAGCCUUCGGCUCAACCGAAGAAGUGCAUCGGAAACUGGGAAACUUGAGUGCAGAAGAGGACAGUGGAACUCCAUGUGUAGCGGUGAAAUGCGUAGAUAUAUGGAAGAACACCAGUGGCGAAGGCGGCUGUCUGGUCUGUAACUGACGCUGAGGCUCGAAAGUAUGGGUAGCAAACAGGAUUAGAUACCCUGGUAGUCCAUACCGUAAACGAUGAAUGCUAAGUGUUGGAGGGUUUCCGCCCUUCAGUGCUGCAGCUAACGCAUUAAGCAUUCCGCCUGGGGAGUACGGCCGCAAGGCUGAAACUCAAAGGAAUUGACGGGGGCCCGCACAAGCGGUGGAGCAUGUGGUUUAAUUCGAAGCUACGCGAAGAACCUUACCAGGUCUUGACAUACUAUGCAAAUCUAAGAGAUUAGACGUUCCCUUCGGGGACAUGGAUACAGGUGGUGCAUGGUUGUCGUCAGCUCGUGUCGUGAGAUGUUGGGUUAAGUCCCGCAACGAGCGCAACCCUUAUUAUCAGUUGCCAGCAUUAAGUUGGGCACUCUGGUGAGACUGCCGGUGACAAACCGGAGGAAGGUGGGGAUGACGUCAAAUCAUCAUGCCCCUUAUGACCUGGGCUACACACGUGCUACAAUGGAUGGUACAACGAGUUGCGAACUCGCGAGAGUAAGCUAAUCUCUUAAAGCCAUUCUCAGUUCGGAUUGUAGGCUGCAACUCGCCUACAUGAAGUCGGAAUCGCUAGUAAUCGCGGAUCAGCAUGCCGCGGUGAAUACGUUCCCGGGCCUUGUACACACCGCCCGUCACACCAUGAGAGUUUGUAACAC